rnacentral:lncRNA from 1 species
CCAGUUCAAGCUCUGUCGGAUCUCUUUGAAGAUCCUUUGUUUGAUGGAUGUUGGGUAAGGCGAGAGCUUCAAGCCCGAUUUCGUGAAGGAUCUCUUGGAAGAUCUUUUGUUUGAUGGAUUGCUGCUUCCACUAUUUGAUCAUAGGGAUCUGUGUCAGACAGGGGUACCAAAUUUUAUAAAUCAAAACCAACCCUAUUUAAACAUCUAUCCUCCCUAGCGAUGCUGCAGGGCGGACUAGACAUUUUGCAGACCCAGCUCUCCCGAUGGCCCUUAUGAUGAUCAUCUUGGGUGACGCGCUGGUCCAGAUUCAAUAUCUAUUCAUUGAUAUAUUUCGUCUGUGCUUGUACAAAAUUCAGGUACUCUCUUCUUCACUUCUUUAAUCCUCGAGACAAUGUCGAACAACGAUUCUGUGAGUGGAGAUUUUUUAGAAAAAACAUCGGCUAAAAUCAAUAACAUUUUAUGCUUGCAUCUCGUUGAAAAGUAUCCCCAAUUGGGUUUUUGUGUGGUGUUGCUAAUGUUAACCAAUUAUAUAUUGCAACACAUCAAGGGUAAUAAGCAGGAAAAUGAAAUCAAUAAUAUAAAGCUUCAAAUAACUUACUCCAGUGGCAGUUGACGGAGCUUCAGAUUGCAGUCGCUGAAGAGGGGAAGGAUAUGAGAGCAGAGAUUCAGGAGGGACUGAAAAGGUAGAAUGACGUCUGGGAAAAAGAGGUGAAGGAGCUCCAGCAAGCACUUGCGAGGCAGGACAAGAAGUCCGGGAAAGGGAAAGUAGGAAAAAUAUUGAAGCAAUGGACCACAUUAUAAACAAGAUGAGUAGGAUGGUAUGAUUUCAAAUAGCAAGUGUCUUAGGCCUAGACUUGCACUAUUCUUAGGAGUACACAAAUUUUCUAUUAACAAGAUUUAG